UGAGAGUGCUGUGAGUGAGAGUGCUGUGAGUGAGAGUGCUGUGUGUGAUGUGAGUGAGAGUGCUGUGUGUGAGAGUGCUGUGUGUGAGAGUGCUGUGUGUGAUGUGUGUGAGAGUGCUGUGUGUGAGAGUGCUGUGUGUGAUGAGAGUGCUGUGUGUGAUGGGUGAGAGUGUGCUGUGUGUGAUGGGUGUGAGAGUGCUGUGUGUUUGUGCUGUGUGUGAUGGGUGUGAGAGUGCUGUGUGUGAGAGUGCUGUGUGUGAGAGUGCUGUGUGUGAUGGGUGUGAGAGUGCUGUGUGUGAUGUGAGUGAGAGUGCUGUGUGUUUGUGCUGUGUGUGAUGGGUGUGAGAGUGCUGUGUGUGAAAGUGCUGUGUGUGAUGGGUGUGAGAGUGCUGUGUGUGAGAGUGCUGUGUGUGAUGGGUGUGAGAGUGCUGUGUGUGAUGUGAGUGAGAGUGCUGUGUGUGAGAGUGCUGUGUGUGAUGUGAGUGAGAGUGCUGUGUGUGAGAGUGCUGUGUGUGAUGGGUGUGAGAGUGCUGUGUGUGAUGUGAG